rnacentral:rRNA from 1 species
GAUGAACGCUGGCGGCGUGCCUAAUACAUGCUAGUCGAGCGAACAGACGAGGAGCUUGCUCCUCUGACGUUAGCGGCGGACGGGUGAGUAACACGUGGAUAACCUACCUAUAAGACUGGGAUAACUUCGGGAAACCGGAGCUAAUACCGGAUAAUAUAUUGAACCGCAUGGUUCAAUAGUGAAAGACGGUUUUGCUGUCACUUAUAGAUGGAUCCGCGCCGCAUUAGCUAGUUGGUAAGGUAACGGCUUACCAAGGCAAUGAUGCGUAGCCGACCUGAGAGGGUGAUCGGCCACACUGGAACUGAGACACGGUCCAGACUCCUACGGGAGGCAGCAGUAGGGAAUCUUCCGCAAUGGGCGAAAGCCUGACGGAGCAACGCCGCGUGAGUGAUGAAGGUCUUCGGAUCGUAAAACUCUGUUAUUAGGGAAGAACAAAUGUGUAAGUAACUAUGCACGUCUUGACGGUACCUAAUCAGAAAGCCACGGCUAACUACGUG